rnacentral:lncRNA from 1 species
AUGACCAUGGAAUUCGAAAGCACUGAGCUAAGGACUAUAAGGGGAAACAAAUUACUUUCUGCACGAACAUGUCCUGUCUGGAGCUUCCAAAGAGGAGGAGCAGCCCGAACGCAAUCAAUUUCCACAGUCCACCGUGGAGGUGAGGAUGGCAACGCCACACAUUUCUGCAACGGAUGCAACAUCCUGUCAUUGGCCAAUUAUUUGCACAAACACUCAAAGUGUGUCUGCAACUCUGGGGGAGGCAGAGACCUCCUGAAGUGUCUCCGCUCUGCAGACGCUCAGGUGCUCGGGUCCCCUGCUCCAGACCAGCAGCCGUUUCAGCUGGCCACCGGGAGGAUGUUGCAGGGCCAACCACGCAGAGUGGAGGCCAGUGGCAUGUGCCUAUUCGGCAGAAAAAAACGACAGCUCUACAGAGCGAGCGCGCAGAUGACACCCCCUGGUGUUGGGGAGGAUGGAGUAACAGGCACACGCUUAAACCGCUGCCGGGGCCUCUGCGAGAGCAAGUCCCUGGGACACUCCGGAAAUACAGUGACAGUGUGGUUAUGUGUCACUACUUUAAGUGGCUGUGGAGAGUGUCAUUGCAUGGAUGCACCAUAAUUUAUUUAACUGUUUCCAGUUGUUUGCUAUUAUAAACUGUGUGAUCAACGUCCGUAUGCGUAUUUCUCUGUGAAGUUGACCCAUUAGGUCCUUGGCAAAAAUCCUCACGAAUGGAAAUCUACGGCGCUGGUACAUGGUGUCAGGUGACCGUCUAGAAAGUUGCAUAUAAGAUUGCAAGUCAAUGGCCUAUGUUUUCUUGCAGUUUUUAACUAGAAUGUGCAUUUUUGCAUUCAGAUAUUUGCUCCAUCUGAAACUUAUUUUGGUGGUAAAAGCCAUUUUUUUCCAAAAGACUAAGUCAGUUUUCCCUACUCACUUUUACCCUCUACCAAGUUCUCAUUCAUACUUGAGUCUGUUUCUGCAUUUUGUGCUACUGAGCUUUGUGCUAAUUAUUGUUUAAUGCUUCAGUUUUUGUACUUGUGUGAUAUGUUUUAAUAUCUAGUAGGACAAUUAUUUGCUCAUUAUUCUGCCUGGCUAUUUGUUCAUGCUUAUUAUUUCAGAAGAACUUUGAUAUCAGUUUUUUUUUUCUGUAUUAAAGGGAAAAAACUCUGAAAAUUUUUUUUUUGCUUGGGACUUGCAUUGAUUUCAGGAGAGUUGUUACAUUUUUACAAUACAAAAUUUAUUUUUCCAUUUAUUCAAAAAUA